UACGUAGGGUGCGAGCGUUAAUCGGAAUUACUGGGCGUAAAGCGUGCGCAGGCGGCUUUGCAAGACAGAUGUGAAAUCCCCGGGCUCAACCUGGGAAUGGCAUUGGAAACUGGCUCGCUGGAGUGUGGCAGAGGGGGGUGGAAUUCCGCGUGUAGCAGUGAAAUGCGUAGAGAUGCGGAGGAACACCGAUGGCGAAGGCAGCCCCCUGGGCCAACACUGACGCUCAGGCACGAAAGCGUGGGGAGCAAACAGG
rnacentral:rRNA from 1 species